GUGCUCACUUUGGCAGCACAUAACUAAAAUUGAAAUAAUACAAGGAAGAUUAGCACGGCCCCUGCGUGAGGAGGACAAGCAAAUUCAUAAAGCGUCCCAUAUUUUU